rnacentral:rRNA from 1 species
AACGAACGCUGGCGGCGCGCCUAACACAUGCAAGUCGAACGAGAAUCCGGGGCAACCCGGUAGUAAAGUGGCAAACGGGUGAGGAAUACAUGGGUAACCUACCCUUGAGAAGGGAAUAACCCGCCGAAAGGUGAGCUAAUACCCUAUACGCUAUCUUUUUUUCGAAAAGGAUAGGAAAGCCGGGUCGAGGACCUGGUACUCAAGGAGGGGCUCAUGUCCUAUCAGCUUGUUGGUGGGGUAACGGCCUACCAAGGCUACGACGGGUAGCUGGUCUGAGAGGAUGAUCAGCCACACUGGCACUGAGAUACGGGCCAGACUCCUACGGGAGGCAGCAGUGAGGAAUAUUGCGCAAUGGGCGAAAGCCUGCCGCAGCGACGCCGCGUGGGGGAUGAAGGUUUUCGGAUUGUAAACCCCUUUCAUGAGGAAAGAUAAAGUGGGUAACCACUUAGACGGUACCUCAAGAAGAAGCCACGGCUAACUUCGUGCCAGCAGCCGCGGUAAAGU